AGAGUUUGAUUCUGGCUCAGGAUUAACGCUGGCGGCAUGCCUAAUACAUGCAAGUCGAAUGGAAGAGCUUGCUUUCCAUGGCGAACGGGUGAGUAACACGUAGGUAACCUACCUUAAGGACGAGGAUAACCUUUGGAAACGAAGGAUAAUACUGGAUAGGACAUCAUAAAACACAUGUUUAGAUGUUUAAAGGAGCAAUCCACCAUAAGAGGGGCCUGCGGCGCAUUAGCUAGUUGGUAAGGUAAAGGCCUACCAAGGCGAUGAUGCGUAGCCGGACUGAGAGGUUGAACGGCCACAAUGGGACUGAGAACGGCCCAUACUCCUACGGGAGGCAGCAGUAGGGAAUUUUCGGCAAUGGACAAAAGUCUGACCGAGCAAUGCCGCGUGAUCGAAGAAGUAUUUCGGUAUGUAAAGAUCUUUUAUCAGGGAAGAAAAGACAGAUUGACUGAACCUGAUGAAUAAGCUCCGGCUAACUACGUGCCAGCCGCGGC
rnacentral:rRNA from 1 species